rnacentral:rRNA from 1 species
UACGGGGGGAGCAAGCGUUGUUCGGAAUUACUGGGCGUAAAGGGCUCGUAGGCGGCCAACUAAGUCGGACGUGAAAUCCCUCGGCUUAACCGGGGAACUGCGUCCGAUACUGGAUGGCUUGAGUUCGGGAGAGGGAUGCGGAAUUCCAGGUGUAGCGGUGAAAUGCGUAGAUAUCUGGAGGAACACCGGUGGCGAAGGCGGCAUCCUGGACAGACACUGACGCUGAGGAGCGAAAGCCAGGGGAGCAAACGGG